UUUAGGCAGAUAUGUAAAGCAUAUCUGUACAAAUAAAAAUCUCGAACUAUUCAGUCUGGUCUUUGUGCUUGUAAGCUCGCUCUGGAUGCUGCACCUGUGGUUCAGCGUUGGGAUAAAAACAAUGUGUUGACUUGUAAAGUCUCAUCAUGUAGACAGCUCAAGGCGCUUCACACAUGACACACGAUGCAGGUGAUGUGACGUCAAAAUGAGAGGAAGUCAAAAUAAAGUGACGUCAAAAUAAAGUGACGACAGAAUGUCGGAGUUCAGCGGACCGUGUCACUACAGUUCAGCGUCCACACACAGCACGAAUAACAACCCGCAGUCCACACAUCAAAACAUCACACAAGCCACAAUACACUCCACAGCAAAUGGAACAAGUCCAGCAUGGGCUCAGGUCUGACUGGAACGACAAAUGAGUCCAGCACGCGCGAACGUUCGCUGACCAACAGAAGGUCAAGAAGACAUGAAGCUCACACAACUGCGCCGAUCGUCAAGUCAAGUCUGCAGGUCGGAAACGAACCCAAGCCACCGACACGGAGGAGGCAGAACAUUCCAAACCCACAAGGGCAGGCGUCAAAACACACACAAUCACAAGUCAGACUCAGACAUCAGGAAGACAUCAGACAAAACAAAAAUACGACCAGCCAGGUAAGCGAGGGGACAUCACUCUCAGAUUGGGAACACCCUGACACCAUUGUCACUCCAGUGCGAUCCGCUGAGGUAAUGAAUCCACUGAACAUUCCAGGGCUUGGUCUGAGGUGUAAUUCUGAUAUUAUCAACCUCUCUAAGUGUUGUAACAGGACCACUUCAGUUAUCAAGACUGGUUUUCCCCGAUAUCCACUAAAUAACUGGGCUUGUCGUACCCGGAAGACACUCCUCGAUAAAAACAAACAGAAGAAAGAGAAUACUUAAUGUCACUUGGCUCAUCUCUGCUAGGCACGACCGGGUACAUCAGUAUGAUAGAUGCAAGGCCUAAGCAUGCAGGUAUAAGAAAAGAUAACCAUGAAUAAAUACCAGAGUGAGGUGGGGUCUGUUCUUAUCUCUGUCCCUGGUCGCGAUGUUCGGUUUGCCCCCCCCCCACCCCCCAGUCCUUAUAGUGUCUACGUCACGUGACCUCACACCAUGUCACGCGACAUCUUUACUUCUUUCUUCUUCUCGGAUCUGCCAUAGGAACUAACGCCCCUUGGUCAGCUGACGUGGCCACCGCACGUUGAUUUGACCCUGACCUCUGAUCUUUUAAUUUCUAUGACCCUUUGCUCACCUGUACUUUUCUUCAGCUACAUUCCAGUCCUUGCUAUUACUACGUCCUGCCAAGAAAAGAUAAACAGCACUUCUUACCACAUAUCUACAGACAUGCUAUACAUAAGUCAGACUUGGCAGUAGGGAUAUUACCUCACACCAUCUGAAAAUGUGUACAUCGUUGCUGCAAAAUGUUCAGUCAAGCAUACAAAAUAUCUCUUCUCAAAAUUAGUCUAUAAAAGAACACGUGCUCAGUAACGCUUCGUUUACUUCAACUGUCUCAGACAGGUUUACAAUAAACAAAUAAAUAAAAGCAUAUCUCUUCCUGUCUCGUUUUGAUGUUCAUCAGUUUAGCAACGGCUCAUCUUCAAACCGCUGUAAUAUCAUUUAACAACGACAACGACAACGACACGCACUUCAGAAACUAUGGCGGAGACAUCUCUCAAGAGGACAGUAUCCCCGCAGCUACACAGCUCCUUACUUCUUUAUGGCGAGCUCCUUUUGAUGUAUAAUCGAAUAUGACAAUUGCCAUUACAAUUAUGAUAACAAGAAAUCAAUUUUAUUUUCCCUCAAGCAGUGUAAAAAAAUUUAGAAGGAGAGAAAGUAGACAAUUAUAUUUCUCGACAAUAUAGGUGUGUAAAUAACAGAAACCAUGCAAAUGGUCGCACUACUGUCGCACUACUGUCACUUAAUUAACAAGCCUCGAGGCUUGUAAUGUAUUUUGAAGCACGCUGCAGACACAAGCUAUAAUUUCCUCCCCACCAAUUACCUCUUAAUGCCAAUUAUUUUUUUCGCUAAAGAUACAUUUCGCUCUCCAGUAACAGACAGGAAGCGCAGGGACUAUAAUUCCCUGUUUAUAACAAGCUGCACAGAUCUUUUCUCAAUAGUAAUUUUCUACCUAAUAAUUUUUUCGCUCAGUGAAUAUUUGUCUGUUAAGAAACACUGAACCUUAGAAAAUGGAUUGCAUAAUGUUUAAACCAAAAAGACAUGCGUCAAUGGCGAAUCAUAAUUGGAGUGGAAAUUACGGUGUGGAGUGGAAAAAAAGUGCUGCCAGUGUCAUGAGUACAAACCCUUGCCCUAUAUAACCUCCAGACUCUUUGAAUUCCCAGUUCUUAACGAAUGAUUUGUAAGUUCAGAUAUUUCUCUCGCAACACAAAUUAAACACUAUCCUGAAAUUCAGUUCAAUACUCCUUCCAAAAGCAGUGGAGAUUUUCAAUGUGCUUGCUAUUUAGGAAGGAUGGAAAUUUUCAGUCAGAUGCCAAACUCCACCGAUUCUAAAGGAGAAAUUAUUGCUGUAGUUAUUGGCCAGUCGGAGGAUAUCGUUAGCUUUGAGACUUACGAGGUCUUCACCACGAUUACCCAGUGUGCAGUAAAACCUGUCCUGUUUCUGGUGGGCAUCCCGUCCAACGUCCUCAACUGUGUCGUCUUCUGGCGCCAGGGAGUCCGCGACCCCAUGAACCUCUGCCUCUUCUGUCUGUCCCUCGCUGAUCUUCUCCACAUGACCUUCCUCUUCGUACAGUCAGUCAUCGGACCGUUUGUCGAGUUUCAAGACAAGGUGCUAGGAAAAGAAAUUUACCAUAAGACGUCGGCGUACACCAAGUGGUUCAGUGUCGAGAUGUACAGCAUGUCCGGGUGUAUCAGCCUCGUUAUCGCCGUGGAGCGGUGCGUGUGUGUCAUGAUGCCGCUACGUGCGGUCUCCAUCAUCAGCACGCGCACCACGGGGAUGGUGCUAGCCGUUAUUUAUGUCAUCACCCAGCUGGGUUUCAUCGUCAACAUCUUCAACUACGACGUGGUGGCCAUAAAAGACAACCACACCGAUCAGGUCAUCGGAUGGACUUCGCUCCCUUCCAAACUUUGGCAAGAGAACUUAGUUCUGUUCACCACCAUCCAAAGACUCAUUCUGCUGACUAUUUUACCGUUUGGUAUAUUCGUAGGUCUGUCUGUAGCAACGGCGGUGACGGUGGUGAGGUUGAAAGCCGCCCUGCUGUGGCGGGAGAGCACCAGCUCCAGCAGCAGCCAGAGUUCCGGCCAGCAGAGGGCGCUGACCAAGAUGCUGGUGUUUGUCUCAUGCUUGCACAUCGUCACGGCCGCGCCUCAGCUCGUCUUCAUUAUAACGGUUUCUCUCGUCAGCGACUUUAACUUCGGCGGGCGUUACGAGAACACAUUUGAAGUCGUGGCAGCGGCUAAAGGUGUGAGUGCGAUGGUCAACAGCUCCUUCACCUUCGUUAUCUAUUAUCGCCAGUCCUCUCGCUACAGGCGCGCGCUGCGCCAUCUUUGUUGCUGGACGAAGCCUGGCGAUGAAGAGUCAACGAAAUGUAAUCACAGCACUACUUUCUGACAUAUGUGUAUCCGUUAAAUCUCUUAACAAGCAAGGAAGGUCAGUACUGCCAAUUAAUAUGCUUUAAUCGACAGCACAACUCUUGUGAUCAAAGAAUAAUGUUUAAAUGAGACUUAUAUUUUUAUAAUGUGUAGCCCCGAACCUGUUUCCAUAAGGUUACAGGAGAAUAAAACAUAACACUGGUAUAGAAAAUUAAUUCAAAAUUUAAAUUUACUGAAACAGUAAGCAAACCUUUGACUUCGUGAAAAACAUAAACAACAAAAAACAAAAAAAGGAAAGUGCUAAAGCGGAGCUAGCAAAAGUUCAAGCUACGAAUUGUUAAUGAAAUGAAUAGUUUUACAUCGGCGCAAGAUUUCUAUAUUUUAGUCUCAACCUUUGACCUGCGGAGGAAGUGGUUCAAUAAAUAAAGUAGUUGACACGCUCAAAGAGAAAAUGAUAUUUGACUUAAAUGAUCUUCGAGAUCAUGUGCCAAUAAACUUUAAACUUUAUAUACUUCAAAUAUCGUCUCAGACACAGGUCGACGACGGCUGCUAAGGUCGUUGUGUCAUCCAGUGGCGAGGGUUGUCAUUCUGGGGACAUCGUGUGAACAUGACUUAUCCACGGUCCACCACAUGCCUGUGAGAAUAUCAAUGUUAAAGUGUCGUAUCUCGCAAAACCCAACGUGGGGGUAUUUCUACCAAUGUUCGGAAGUAGACAUUUCAGUAGAUCCUUAAGAACAGCCCGUUAGUCUUUCAGCUAGUCAGUCGCGAAGUGUUUGUGCUCAAGAUGAUUACAAUUAAAAAUACCAAAGUACGAAGCACAGGAAUCUUAUUUUUUAUUUUCACGUUUAAAAAGUGCUUCACACAAAACCACAGACGAUAAUCUUUGACAUUGAGGAGCCUGCAUCAGACUUAGGUUCCUGUCAUGGCGAUGUAUCACUCGGUAUGAUAUUUAGUUGACUCUCCAGAAAAAUGACCCUGACACGUAGGACGGCAGGCAUUGGUUCAAUUCCACCGUAGGAAGUACACGGGCGAGAAAAUAAAGUGCAGGCACCUCUUUCUAACACUCGUGCGUCCCGUACAUUCCACGUGACACUCAGGGAUCAGUAAGUAUGAUAAGACAGAAUGCCGAGCAUAGCUAAUCAUUUAUCUACAUUGUUAGACCACGGACGUGUAUAAGUGGAUUGCUGUCUGCCGAGACCAGCACUUAGCCUCUUACGAAGUUCUCCGUUGUUAGUCUCGGUGAACAUAAGCAAAGAAUGUGAGUAAACCGGAAGUUGUGUAUACACCUGCCUCGUUUCAGUAGUUGAAAAAAUUGGUCUGCCAGCAGUUCAGUAACACAUGUUCUGGUUAGACUAGUCCACUCCUAGUGCGAUGACUGACACCGGUGUCGCGAUGUUGGGAGUGUGAGAGAUACCUGGGUGCGAUUGUAGAGGCAGCAGCACCCUUCCACGACAGGUGUGCGUCGUCAGAGACACGAGACCGCCACCCCGGAUGAAGGCGUCCACCCAGCCGUAGCACGGGCGAACUCUUCAGUUGGGAAGGACUCGAGGAGUGUACCUGUGACCUUGUCUGAGCACCUGGGCUUGACUCAGUAUUAAUAAAUAGGUUCAAGAACAGUUCGUCUGUUGUUUAGGACCUCAGCCUAGGGUCCUGUCGUUGCCAGAUGCUGUAAGUAAUGCUUUCAAAGCAAAUCAUGAUGUCGAAGUAAAAGGACUCACCAACAGUAAGUCGCUGAAAUCGGUUUUGGAUGUGUGUGUAGAGAAGGGGGUUGUGGGGUGAGAGGGUAGUUAAUAAAGGAAAGGGUUGUGUCAGAACUGUACGCUUGGAAGAUCAAACUGAUGACAAUGGCGACCUUGCUUUGAGCUCCUCUUAUCACUAAUGAAAGCAUCUAACUAGUUAUUGCUUCACACUUCAUGGGUUGGGGCCACAUCAAACACACGGAAGUGUGAAAGGACUUUUUCAAAGAAUGGGAGAAAAAAGUCGCUGAAUUGUAGUCGCUAGCCUUAAAGGCACGCCCAUCCCUUCGUGACAAACAGGUAAAAAUAAAACAGAAACACGGCAACUACAAUUCCCACGCUAGUCGAGUAAGGACUACAAUGCCAAGUAAUAUCAAGUAUUACUCUAAAUCAUUUUACCGCAGCUUAAAAUUUGAAGAAAAAUUAGAUAAAGAAAUUCUUUCGAACAGCACCAAAGGGACAUAGUUUAACCACAGAGUAAG